rnacentral:rRNA from 1 species
UCUACAGCUAUGCCACCCUGACAAGCCUGAUCUCAUCUGAUCUCAGAAGCCGAGAAGGUUGGGACUGUUUAGUACUUGGAUGGGAGAAUCAAAUAUGGAAAAGGACGGUGUGCUGUUUGAA